rnacentral:misc_RNA from 1 species
GCAAACUUGGUCAUUUAGAGGAAGUAAAAGUCGUAACAAGGUUUCCGUAGGUGAACCUGCGGAAGGAUCAUUAACAAAUUUCAUGUUGUUGUUGUAUAUGUGUGUGCGUGUGCGUGUGUGACCACAUACACACACACACACACACAAAUACUACACACACAUUCACCCGCACUGUGCCAACGGCGCAGUCGGUCACUUGAACCCGUUUGUAUUGUUUGACUAAUGUGAUAAUAUUAUCAUAUAACGAAAAACAACUUUUAACAAUGGAUCUCUUGGCUCUUGCAUCGAUGAAGAACGCAGC